rnacentral:rRNA from 1 species
CUAUUUGAUGGUUCGCCGUUGAGUAGCUAGUGAUGUCAUACUUCCAAGAAAAGCUCAUGCAUCUUUAUCAUUUAAUUACCUGUACCUGAAACCGACACAGGUAGGUUGGUAGAGAAUACUAAGGGGCGCGAGAGAACUCUCUCUAAGGAACUCGGCAAACUGGCCCCGUAACUUCGGAAGAAGGGGCACUUACUUUUAACAAGUAAGUCGCAGUGACCAGGCCCAGGCGACUGUUUACCAAAAACACAGGUCUCCGCAAAGUCGUAAGACAAUAUAUGGGGGCUGACGCCUGCCCAGUGCCGGAAGGUUAAGGAAGUUGGUUACAAAUUUAUUUGGAAGCUGACGACCGAAGCCCCGGUGAACGGCGGUCGUAACAAUAACGAUCCUAAGGUAGCGAAAUUCAUUGUCGAGUAAGUUUCGACCUGCACGAAAGGCGUAACGAUCUGGGCGCUGUCUCGGAGAGAGGCUCGGUGAAAUAGACUUGUCCCGUGAAGAUGCGGACUACCUGCACCUGGACAGAAAGACCCUAUGAAGCUUGACUGUAUCUUGGAAUUGGGUUUGGGCUUUUCUUGCGCAGCCUAGGUGGGAGGCUAUGAAAAUUACCUUCUGGGGUAAUUCGAGCCGUCAGUGAGAGACCACUCUGGAAGAGCUAGAAUCCUAAUGGGGAUCCUUGAAUCAGGACCCUUGACAGUUUCAGGUGGGCAGUUUAUUUGGGGCGAAUGCCUCCUAAAAGGUAACGGAGGCGUGCAAAGGUUCCCUCAGUCUGGACGGAAAUCAGACAUUGAGUGUAAAGGCAAAAGGGAGCUUGACUGCAAGACCUACAAGUCGAGCAGGGGCGAAAGCCGGCCUUAGUGAUCCGACGGUGCCGUGUGGAAGGGCCGUCGCUCAACGGAUAAAAGUUACUCUAAGGAUAACAGGCUGAUCUUCCCCAAGAGUUCACAUCGACGGGAAGGUUUGGCACCUCGAUGUCGGCUCAUCACAUCCUCGGUCUGUACUAGGUCCGAAGGGUUGGGCUGUUCGCCCAUUAAAGUGGUACGUGAGCUGGGUUCAAAACGUCGUGAGACAGUUUGGUCCAUAUCCGGUGUAGGCGUUAGAGCAUUGAGAGUAGCCUUUCAUAGUACGAGAGGACCUGAAAGGACAUGCCAAUUGUGUACCAGUUCUCAUUCCAAUGGGGAACGCUGGGUAGCUACGCAUGGAUAGAUAACUGCUGAAAGCAUCUAAGUAGGAAGCUAAACUCAAGAUGAGUGCUCUCUAAGGCCGCGGCUAGACAAGCCGUUAUAUAGGUAUCAGGUGUACAGUCAGCGAUGGCUUUAGCCGAGAUAUACUAAAGGCCAUCUG